GUUCCCUAUGAUGUUACUUUAACCAUGCUAAUGCUGAUAAUCAAUACGUGAUUAUUAUUAAUAUCCAUUUAUACUGAGGGAACU